UUCCUACGGGAGGCAGCAGUGGGGAAUUUUGGACAAUGGGGGCAACCCUGAUCCAGCCAUGCCGCGUGCGGGAAGAAGGCCUUCGGGUUGUAAACCGCUUUUGUCAGGGAAGAAAUCCCUUGAGCUAAUACCUCGAGGGGAUGACGGUAUGAAGAAUAAGCACCGGCUAACUACGUGCCAGCAGCCGCGGUAAUACGUAGGGUGCAAGCGUUAAUCGGAAUUACUGGGCGUAAAGCGUGCGCAGGCGGUUGUGCAAGACAGAUGUGAAAUCCCCGGGCUCAACCUGGGAACUGCAUUUGUGACUGCACGGCUGGAGUGCGGCAGAGGGGGAUGGAAUUCCGCGUGUAGCAGUGAAAUGCGUAGAUAUGCGGAGGAACACCGAUGGCGAAGGCAAUCCCCUGGGCCUGCACUGACGCUCAUGCACGAAAGCGUGGGGAGCAAACAGGAUUAGAUACCCUGGUAGUCCACGCCCUAAACGAUGUCAACUGGUUGUUGGGAAGGUUCCUUCUCAGUAACGUAGCUAACGCGUGAAGUUGACCGCCUGGGGAGUACGGCCGCAAGGUUGAAACUCAAAGGAAUUGACGGGGACUCGCACAAGCGGUGGAUGAUGUGGUUUAAUUCGAUGCAACGCGAAACCUUACCUACCCUUGACAUGCCUGGAAUCCUGCAGAGAUGUGGGAGUGCCCGAAAGGGAGCCAGGACACAGGUGCUGCAUGGCCGUCGUCAGCUCGUGUCGUGAGAUGUUGGGUUAAGUCCCGCAACGAGCGCAACCCUUGUCAUUAGUUGCUACGAAAGGGCACUCUAAUGAGACUGCCGGUGACAAACCGGAGGAAGGUGGGGAUGACGUCAGGUCCUCAUGGCCCUUAUGGGUAGGGCUACACACGUCAUACAAUGGCCGGUACAAAGGGCUGCCAACCCGCGAGGGGGAGCUAAUCCCAGAAAACCGGUCGUAGUCCGGAUCGCAGUCUGCAACUCGACUGCGUGAAGUCGGAAUCGCUAGUAAUCGCGGAUCAGCUUGCCGCGGUGAAUACGUUCCCGGGCCUUGUACACAC
rnacentral:rRNA from 1 species